rnacentral:lncRNA from 1 species
GUGGAUAUAAAGUAUUUAAGUUGAUAAUUUAAUAUUUGCCAAACAUGUACAUUACCUUGAUUUGCCAAGGAUGUGCUACGAAUCGCUACACUGCUACCAAUUGUUACAUGUCUUGGUCACAGUAUUUUUUAUUUAUAUCCAACACUGCUAUCCACAAAGGGAUUAUUGGAUGGGUUGGGCUAUGUUUCCAUUGGGAUUUUCUUAAGAGUUUUGAGAAUGCAGUUAAGGGCUGCAGAGGCUUCUAAGUAGGUGAGAUUCUCCUACUCUCUCGCUAUGUCAUGAAUUAUGUGAACUGCUUGUGGAUUAUACUGAUACCCUCGAUGCACUUUUGAAGAAUGUGGAGGAUGAAUCAGGAGAGUCAUGGAAUGAAAAUAAGGAUAAUUUGGAGAUGGAUAACACAUCACUGUUAGCUCGACAUCUACUGGUACUGAUCAAAUCUUUAAUAAAUCUUGAGGAGAAGUCGAGAAUGUAUGAGGGUAAUGCAAUGCAAUAUAUAUUUUUAAUGAACAAUAUACUGUACAUAGUCCAGAAAGUGAAAGACUCAUGGCAUCGAAACUUUUUGGCAGAUAACUGGAUCAAAAAACAAAGGGGUCAGAUUCGAUAGUAUUCAACAUAUUGUCUUAGGGCAACUUGCAGAAAGGUCUUAUCUUGUUUGAAAGAUGAACGGAUGGGGGG